CUUCCUGAAACCCUAAAAUGGCAGCAUCCUCAUCACACACAAGCACUACAACUCAUUCCAAUGCAAUCUGCUCAUGUGGGACUUCUACUUGCAUUAGAACUUCUUGGACGAAAGCAAAUCCUAGGCGUAGGUUUCUUUGUUGUAGCGACAACUAUGGUUGGUUACACUGGAUUGAACCUCAAAGCACAUGUCCCAGAUGUGAGAGAGUUGUUCCAGCCCUGUUGAGCUCUUGAAUUGCUAAGGAUGAAGGCAUUGGAAGUUGCUGAGAAGGUGGUUGAAGUUCGAAGACUUAUGUUUGUGUUAGGUUUCACUUGGUUGUUGUUUGUCAUUUAUGUAGUCAUGUGUUGAUGAAUUGUGCUUUGAAUGUUAUUCUGACUCAGUAACCUACUUUUCUCUAUUA